GCCCACACUGCUCAGCGGUUGAGCGUCCGCCUAUGAACCAGGAGGUCAGGGUUCGAUUCCCGGUCAGGGCA
rnacentral:tRNA from 1 species